rnacentral:rRNA from 1 species
CGCUGGCGGCGUGCCUAAUACAUGCAAGUCGAGCGAACGGACGAGAAGCUUGCUUCUCUGAUGUUAGCGGCGGACGGGUGAGUAACACGUGGAUAACCUACCUAUAAGACUGGGAUAACUUCGGGAAACCGUAGCUAAUACCGGAUAAUAUUUUGAACCGCAUGGUUCAAAAGUGAAAGACGGUCUUGCUGUCACUUAUAGAUGGAUCCGCGCUGCAUUAGCUAGUUGGUAAGGUAACGGCUUACCAAGGCAACGAUGCAUAGCCGACCUGAGAGGGUGAUCGGCCACACUGGAACUGAGACACGGUCCAGACUCCUACGGGAGGCAGCAGUAGGGAAUCUUCCGCAAUGGGCGAAAGCCUGACGGAGCAACGCCGCGUGAGUGAUGAAGGUCUUCGGAUCGUAAAACUCUGUUAUUAGGGAAGAACAUAUGUGUAAGUAACUGUGCACAUCUUGACGGUACCUAAUCAGAAAGCCACGGCUAACUACGUG